UGGUGAGAAUUUAGGGUUAAAUGAAACUUGAUAGUAUUUAGUUGUUUAGUUCAUAAUUGAGUUAAAAUCUAUGUUAUUUGCUACUGUCUGAUUGUUGCAUUUUUGGAUUGUUGAUGAUUAUCAUUGUAUUGUUGUUAGUACAAAAUCAUAAGUUCUCCCCAAUUUUUAUAGUUUGAUUGUGGUUGUUCCUCUAAAUGAUAUCACGUAGAGUUGGUGUCAAAUUCUUAAUCAAAAGAAUCGUGGUCACACUUGUGUUAAAAAAUGGUCAAAUUGUUGGAAAUUUGGAGGAAAAAAAUGCGGUUACGUCUAUGUUAAAAUGUGGUUAAGUGCAGAUAAAUUUUUGUCAGUAUGUCUAUGAUAACAAAGAUAGGAAAACAUUAACUUGUCACAAUAUUAUUUCAAUAACGUUCUUCAAUUUUUGUGGAAAACAUGUGAUUAUAAAAUGUGUUUGUAUUUUAGUUAUAAGAUGAAUAUUUUUCAAAUCGUUCUUGUAACGUGUGUUGAGAAUAGGUGUUUGUGUGUGUUUUAAUUGUUGUUGAUAAAAAUUGUUUUUGUAUACAACAUAUAAGGUCAACAUCAUGAACGAAAACAAACGAAAAAGGGAUGGUGGUGUUGGUCCACAGAUAAAGACUCAAAUGCCCCGUACCAAUAAGUAGGUAGAUAUUAACCGAAAAUUAUCUGAUGCGCAAAGGAGUAGAAUUAUGAAAACUCUGUUCCGAUAUCUGGUGGAAAUGAAGACCUAUAUAGGAAUGAAUGGUACUUUAUUGAAGGAAUUAUUGCAUAAAUGGGAUGCAAGUAGUUUAGGAUUUAGAGUAGGCGUUAGGACUGUGGCAUUUAAACAUCUAGACCUUUGUUUGGCUCUAGGUUUGCCUAUUUUAGGAGAAUCUUUGCCGGAAUCAAUAGAUAGUGAUAGUCAUGUUAGAACAUUGUUUGAUGUGAAUGAAGUUAUUAAUAUUGAUAGUGUACAUUCAAAGCUGAAGAUCCUUCAAGAAGAGGACAACAUAGAUGAUUUUUGUAGAGUUUACAUCCUAUUUGCCUUGUGUGUCUUAUA